rnacentral:lncRNA from 1 species
AGCAUUUUUUAGAGUGUAGAUAUUUCUUUUCUCUUCCUGCCUCUAGUUGGGUCCCUGCAGCAGAUGUCAGAUUCGGGUUAUGAGAGUCUAAAGAAUGAGGUGAAUACUGACACAGAGGACAUUUCUAAGACCCGUCCUCUUAAAGACAGUCAUAGUAUGGACUCACUCAUGUCACUGAGUGAUUGUGAACUCGAUUGUCCAGAAAACGACUUGCUGUCUUCCAGCCCAUUGGCACAAAUCAGAAACUGUACAUCCGCAGUGCGUCAACUCCUAUCCCUUAAAUUACACAAACACUCCAUGUCCACCAUUGCUUUGACUUCUCAUGAGCAGGAAAUAACCAUACAAAGUGGAAAACAUGAAGAGUUUAAGAGACCUGAUGAGGUCAAUGAUAAUGUGUUUUUGGAUCAAACCUUUCAACAACUGAAUUUCAUGAGAGAAAAACAAACUCCACCAACCUCCAGUGUAUCAUCGCCAGUGACUUCACCAACAUACUCACCUGUGAGUUCAAUAGACAGUCCAUUUUCUCUGUCCACCAGAAAGACCCUUCAUUCUCCUCAGGAUUCUCCAGCCAAGGUUGAUUUACUCACUCAAAAUGGCACAGAUUACCAAUACUCGAACAGCUUGCCCAAUGAGAAAUUAUCUCCACCAAAUAAUCAGAGGAACUUCACUGAUAUUAAAGGGGGUUUACAGCCUAAAAUGCCCAAAAAUCCUCCUCCUUAUCAGCAGGCCUUACAAAAGCUCAACAGAAAACCGUUCUCACAGACUCCCACUCAAACGCCUUUACAUAAAGGAAAAGGCCUUUUCUACAAGGGGCCCGGGAGCCCCACGCACAGCCCUUUAGGAGACCCCAAGGUUUCCCCUGACCCUCAGACCUGUCAAACCAGGACUGAAGAAGAGGUCAAGCUACCACAGAGUGUGUUUUAUGGACAGAGUUGCAAGUUGGCGGUGCACAAAAUCAGGGGACAGAAGGCAGGUUUGAAGUCUACCAAACUUUCUGGGCAGCAGUUGAGGUUUAAAGCACUUGAUUUGCACCCCUCCUCUGGAAAAAUAGUCAGGGACUACUUGGGACUCAGAGAGAAGCAAGCUGUUGGGAGAGGCCAAAAGCUCAGCUGUUGCAGUAGCAGCCAGUGGAUUGUGUGAAGCCAAUGGGAAGUAAUUUCAAAAACAGUACAAACACUGGGACCC